GCGGCUGUGGUUUGACGUUUCCGACAACGAUGUUUACGUGAAUUUUUAGUAUGCAAAAAGUCAAUAUGGCGGACAAAGGACUCUUGAGCUGCUCCAACUAAUUCAAUAUUGGAAAACACGCAAUUUGGUGAAUCCUUUCCGGAACGAUUGGAAUCAUCAACAGUCAGCUUCGAGCAGAACAACUCUGGCACCAGCUGCGGAUGAAGGGUUGACAAUCGUUCCGGCCAAUCCUGUUUCUCUCCUGUCGGAAAUGUCGAUACGGAGCAUGUAAUUAUUUGUUGAUAAUUGAAAAUAAAUUUUAUUUGUCAUA